rnacentral:rRNA from 1 species
GAUGAACGCUGGCGGCGUGCCUAAUACAUGCAAGUCGAGCGAACAGACGAGGAGCUUGCUCCUCUGACGUUAGCGGCGGACGGGUGAGUAACACGUGGAUAACCUACCUAUAAGACUGGGAUAACUUCGGGAAACCGGAGCUAAUACCGGAUAAUAUAUUGAACCGCAUGGUUCAAUAGUGAAAGACGGUUUUGCUGUCACUUAUAGAUGGAUCCGCGCCGCAUUAGCUAGUUGGUAAGGUAACGGCUUACCAAGGCACGAUGCGUAGCCGACCUGAGAGGGUGAUCGGCCACACUGGAACUGAGACACGGUCCAGACUCCUACGGGAGGCAGCAGUAGGGAAUCUUCCGCAAUGGGCGAAAGCCUGACGGAGCAACGCCGCGUGAGUGAUGAAGGUCUUCGGAUCGUAAAACUCUGUUAUUAGGGAAGAACAAAUGUGUAAGUAACUAUGCACGUCUUGACGGUACCUAAUCAGAAAGCCACGGCUAACUACGUG